UGCCAGACCUUCCUUGAGUGGCUUGUCUG
rnacentral:piRNA from 1 species